AGGCCGUGACGAUGAAUUUAUAUACCAUCAAACUAUGAAAGCUUUAUUAAGCUUGUUGAUGCCAUCUAUACUCUCCGAGCCU
rfam:Cicer arietinum chromosome Ca1, whole genome shotgun sequence.